rnacentral:misc_RNA from 1 species
UGUGGGAGCGAGCUUGCUCGCGAUAGCGGUAUGUCAGUCAACUUAAUAGUGACCGGUCCACUGCUAUCGCGAGCAAGCUCGCUCCCACA